GGUUUCGUAGUGUAGUGGUUAUCACGUUCGCUUUACACGCGAAAGGUCCCCGGUUCGAUCCCGGGCGGAACCA